rnacentral:rRNA from 1 species
GGGAUUGCCUCAGUAACGGCGAGUGAAGCGGCAAUAGCUCAAAUUUGAAAUCUGGCCCCCUUGUGGUGUCCGAGUUGUAAUUUGUAGAGGAUGCUUCGGUGUUGGCCCCGGCCUAAGUUCCUUGGAACAGGACGUCACAGAGGGUGAGAAUCCCGUACGUGGCCGGUGUCCCUCGCCAUGUGAAGCUCCUUCGACGAGUCGAGUUGUUUGGGAAUGCAGCUCUAAAUGGGAGGUAAAUUUCUUCUAAAGCUAAAUACCGGCCAGAGACCGAUAGCGCACAAGUAGAGUGAUCGAAAGAUGAAAAGCACUUUGGAAAGAGAGUCAAAAAGUACGUGAAAUUGUUGAAAGGGAAGCGCUUGCAACCAGACCUGCCCGCGGUCGCUCAUCCAGGCUCUUGCCUGGUGCACUCUUCCGCGGUCAGGCCAGCAUCGGUUUGGGCGGUCGGACAAAGGCGACGGGAAUGUGGCUCCCUUCGGGGAGUGUUAUAGCCCGCCGUGCAAUGCGGCCAGUCCGGACCGAGGUCCGCGCUUUGGCUAGGAUGCUGGCGUAAUGGUUGUAAGCGGCCCGUCUUGAAACACGGACCAAGGAGUCUAACAUCUAUGCGAGUGUUUGGGUGUCAAGCCCGGGCGCGCAAUGAAAGUGAACGGAGGCGGGAACCUUCGGGUGCACCGUCGACCGAUCCUGAUGUCUUCGGAUGGAUUUGAGUAAGAGCAUAGCUGUUGGGACCCGAAAGAUGGUGAACUAUGCCUGAAUAGGGUGAAGCCAGAGGAAACUCUGGUGGAGGCUCGCAGCGGUUCUGACGUGCAAAUCGAUCGUCAAAUUUGGGCAUAGGGGCGAAAGACUAAUCG